rfam:Trametes pubescens strain FBCC735 TRAPTBscaffold_982, whole genome shotgun sequence.
GGCGCUAUAGUGUAGCGGUUAUCACUUGGGAUUCUGACUUUGUGAGUUCCCAAAACCCAGGUUCGAGCCCUGGUAGCGCCU